CAAUAAAUGUUUUUGUUCUGCCCACAGCAAAAGUUUCGGGCCAUUUCAUUAAUAGUAAUUGUGUUUAGAAUAUUCAUUUAGUAAUCGCGGUGCAUUGUGGGUAGCUGACGCCGUGUUUCAUCACGGAAAGCCAGACCGUGGUCGUUGCAACUGGUCCUCCUGAGUUAUAUUCCUUUCGUUUCACCUUCGAAAGCAAUGGCUUUUCACUCUACAUUUCAUUGAGCUGAUGUCACAGUUGUUCACUGUACGCCGUCAAGAAGACCCAAUAAAGAAGCAAGACGCUCAUGAAUAAAUGAGUUUGGCUUGCUGUUGACUUGCGUUAACAUACCCGGAGCAUCUAACACGUAGCGAUAACAAUACAUCAGUCAUCUUUCAUUUCGAUUGUAAAUGUAUUUAUUUAUAAACAUUUCACAGUAAUCAACU